AGAGUUUGAUCCUGGCUCAGGAUGAACGCUAGCUACAGGCUUAACACAUGCAAGUCGAGGGGAAGCGACAUCGAAAGCUUGCUUUUGAUGGGCGUCGACCGGCGCACGGGUGAGUAACGCGUAUCCAACCUGCCCACCACUUGGGGAUAACCUUGCGAAAGUAAGACUAAUACCCAAUGACGUCUCUAGAAGACAUCUGAAAGAGAUUAAAGAUUUAUCGGUGAUGGAUGGGGAUGCGUCUGAUUAGCUUGUUGGCGGGGUAACGCCACCAAGGCGACGAUCAGUAGGGGUUCUGAGAGGAAGGUCCCCCACGAUUGGAACUGAGACACGGUCCAAACUCCGUACGGGAGGCA
rnacentral:rRNA from 1 species